GGACACGGUUACGUAACUGAUAAACUGAUAAGGAUAUCAAUGUGUAUGUAUUGUAGGCAUAGAGAACAAGUACUGGUACCGCUUCUCCUAUUUGAAUGGUUUAUGGUUUUGGUAAUUGCAAUGAAAAUAGUAUAGAGAGGA
ensembl:ncRNA C30C11.13 ncRNA